UGGUUGCUUGGUGUGGCCGGAGAUUGUGUACAUCGUGUAAAUGUGAACCUAUAUCCUACAUUCAGAUCAAGUUUGUGUUUGUAUUCUUCUUUUACUUAGUAAACCCAUCAUUGUAGAUGUAGAUGUAAACAUGUUUAUAUCCAUGAGUAUGCACGGGCUUAUAUUAUUGCAUUUAGAUGUACAUUCCUGAACAUUGGUGUAUACAUCUUCAAGUGUGUGCUGUCAAACUAGUUAAGAGUGUAAGACUUCACAUACAUAAAAUAAAAUGAUCGUUGUUGGCCUCAAAAGUGUUACGGUGAAUGCCGAUUGUCCACGACUCCUCGACAUUCAACAGGACUGAGUCAGUAGAGUUAGUCAGAUCAUACAGAAUAUACAGUUGACUCCAUACCAGUGUAAUAUACUCCAACAUAGUUCAGUACAAGAAUAAAAAUCAUUCAGAACAAGUCUAAAGUAUAAAGAAAGAACGGUUUCAUAUCAUAUGCACGUUCAAGUACUUAAAAGUUGAUCAAAUUUUUGUGGAUAAAAGUAUUUUUUAUACAACAUCGAUUUUUUUUAUUGAAAAUAAAGAUUUUCGAAUUGUUAAAUAAAUGUUGAAGCUUCAGGAUAAAUAUUUUUUAAAGUUAUAUUAAACUGAAUUAUUAAGAAGUGUUAUCAUAUACAAAUUCUAAUGAGUAAAAGUUUGAAUAAUUCAUAAGUAAAUAAUAUCUAAACAUGGAAAAAAUGUCAACACAGUGUAGAUAUUUUGUGCAACAUGCUUGGAAGCAAAAUCUUUGUGCCAAUUGUUUUGAAACACGUGAAGAACAUGAAAGAGCUUUAAAAGAACGUUUAAAAAAGUGCAAUGUGUCAACAGUAUCGUCAACUACAAAAAACAGUCAAAGUAUACAGAGUAUCUUGAGACGGAACCGCAAUGACACUCAACUUUCAUCAGACUUGCAAAGAAAAAACGUCGCUUUCCUAGAUUCUCUAACUGAGGUUAUCGGUUAUGGCGGUGAUGAUAACUAUGACGAAGGUUCCGAUAAUGAAGAAUGCCUUAAAUCUAAUGAUACAGUAGAUAAAAUAAAAAUAUUAGAAGAAUUUGUGCCAGAUAGUGAAGAAGAUCGAGCUUUAAAUAAUCUUACUCGAGAGAAUACAAACUUUAACAGAAUAAUAGAAAACCUCACUAAUUCGCCUUUACCAGAAGUUAGUUCUACAAAUGUAAAUAAUAAAACCAACGAACUAUCAUCUAAGACCUUUGGUAAUCUAAUGCUUGGGAAUAUUAAGAAAAAUACAGAUGGUAAAAAAACGACAUUAAUUGUGUCAGUAACUCCAUUUCAAUCAGAGUCUUCCGCAAAGAGUGAGCAUGGCUUUAUAAGAAAACAAUCAGAAAAUAGAAUAAUUACAAAAGAAUCAAAAGAUAUUAUAGUUGAUGUUAAUAAUGACCAUAAAUUGAAUAAUAUUACUUGUGAAAAUAUUUCUUCAAAUAAUUAUCAAUUGAAAGAUUCUAAAAAGCCAUUGUUAAGUAGUCCAUUAAAACCAAUUAGUGAUAAAGUUAAAAACAAAAAUAUAGAAAUUAAACCAUUAAGAACAAAUUUAUCAAAAAAUAAUAUUAAUAAUAAUAACAUUGGAAAUGAUAAACAAUCCAAUUGUGAUAACACUUUGUCAAUUAUUUCUGAAAAAAAGAAAGUUGAUGAAAAUAGUAAUAUCCAUGACGUAAUAUUAUAUAAUAAACCAGCGGUCAAUUUAGAAACCGAAGUAAAAAAGAUUAUUCCAGAAUUAGAACCAUAUGCGAGUGAAAAAAAAUUAGUGGAUGAAUUAAUUCCACCGAUAAGUAAUGAAAAUCUGAUAUCAGGUAUUAAUAACCAAGACAAUAAUGAUAACUGUGAUGAAACAUGCAAUAAAGUUGAAAUAUUAGAGACAACGUCUGAUUCUAGUGAGGCUUUACUUGCUAAUGAUGAUAAUGAUAACUCGUCUACGCUAAUAGCAAUGCCUCGAAGCUCAUUUCUUCACGGGAAAAUUGAUCUAAAGUCAGAACCUCAAAAAACAGAAAUGUUUGAUAUCAAAUCUUCUACUGAUGACAUUACCAAGCUAUCAGAAGAAUCGUCAAAAAAUAUUUAUGUUGAUCAAUUAGAUGAUCAAUCAAUUACUGAGUCAUUAAUGACUAAUUCAGAUAAGCAGAAAAAUUUUCAUCUAGACGAAUAUCAAAUGAAUGAUGAUAAAAAUGUGCCAAAAUUUUCUGAAUCAUCAAAUUAUUCAUCACAAGAAAAUUCUCUGAGCUCAGUAUAUACAAGAAAACCUGUAUCCAAUAUCAAAUCCGACUGUCCAGUAGUUAGGGAGAAAGAAAAAAGGGAAAGAAAUCAUUUAUGUAAUCAAAAAUUGGCUAAAAGUGAUGAUGAAUCAUUAAACCAAUAUGAUUCAAAUAUUUCUAAUGAUAUUAAUGAGAAAACUGAUUCACUUAGAUCUCAAGAAUGUAGCUCUUUGUCUGAUACCGAAUGCAGUUUAGCAUAUUACUCAACUGAUCCACAAUCAGAUAUUGAAAAUCUCCGAGUGAAUAAGAAGAAAAGUCUUACGUCACAAGAAGCUUGUGAGUGAUUUGAGCGAGCUUUCACGGAUUUCUAAUGCUAAAAAUUUCGAUCAUGCUGAUAACUUUGAUUCUAAAACGCUUACAGCUCACUUAAAAGAUCCAUUAUCUACUAAUAAGUCACAGUUACCAGAAUCUAACUGCUUAAAAUCACUAGAAAAUAAUUCAAGUACUUUAUUGCCAUCAUCAUAUAGUGAUCAAGAAGAUUCUGAAUUAUCUAAUAUACUUAAA
rnacentral:misc_RNA from 1 species